UACGUAGGGUGCAAGCGUUGUCCGGAUUUAUUGGGCGUAAAGGGCUCGUAGGCGGUUCGACAAGUCGGGUGUGAAACCUCCAGGCUCAACCUGGAGUCGCCACUCGAAACUGUUGUGACUAGAGUCCGGUAGGGGAGCAUGGAAUUCCUGGUGUAGCGGUGGAAUGCGCAGAUAUCAGGAGGAACACCAGUGGCGAAGGCGAUGCUCUGGGCCGGUACUGACGCUGAGGAGCGAAAGCAUGGGGAGCGAACAGG
rnacentral:rRNA from 1 species